UUCCCUGUAGCGCUAUAGAUAGCGCGUUGGACUUCGAAUCCAAGAGGCGUGGGUUCAAAUCCCGCCUGGGAUA